ensembl:lncRNA
GCUCGCGACCGUCCCCACCGAGGAGCGACACUCGGUGGCUCGGCCGAGUGGGAUCUAGGAGAGACCGGCAUAACGAGGAACUUUAUCUUGGCCCUUCGGUCCAGAAAAGUGUCCGAGAGCUCCAGCAGCCUGAACAUACCAGAAUGCCCGCCCGCUAAUGAUCACACCUUAAGCUUGUUUAGUUUUCAGUAAGUGAGUUGUCACAUCAGCCGGAUGAAAUAGAGUUCGACAGUUCCUGUGUGCUUCCUGGGAAUUUUUUCAGUGGCCUGCAAAGGAGCUGAGAUUCUGAGCUUCACUGAGUUUCAGUGAAAAGCGUGGAAACAGCAAGGGUCAGCCUUUCCUGGAAACAGCCCUUGUGAUCUGGCAUCCUGGGAAUUUGCCCAGCUGGACUUGUCCGUUUCUCCCAUGCCUCAUGAAGCACGUACAUCAAUUUCCCUGUGCCUGCCUAAGUGCCCCUCCAUCAGGGGCUCCCCAGGAUGAGAAUGUCACCAUCAGGCUCAGCAGUGCGGCACCUUCAAGUGGGAGGAUCUGAGAACAUACUUGGAUGAGGCUCAAGCCACACAGUGCCAGAGUGGCAAGAAAGAAGCCCCCUGACGAGACGAGCAGUCAAUUAGGACCACUGGGAAGAAUGCCAUCUUUGUGAAAAUAUUCUGGGC